rnacentral:misc_RNA from 1 species
UACGUAGGUGGCAAGCGUUGUCCGGAAUUAUUGGGCGUAAAGCGCGCGCAGGCGGUUCUUUAAGUCUGAUGUGAAAGCCCACGGCUCAACCGUGGAGGGUCAUUGGAAACUGGGGAACUUGAGUGCAGAAGAGGAAAGUGGAAUUCCACGUGUAGCGGUGAAAUUCGUAGAGAUGUGGAGGUACACCAGUGGCGAUGGCGACUUUCUGGUCUGUAACUGACGCUGAGGCGCGAAAUCGUGGGGAGCAAACAGG